ACUCAAAGGAAUUGACGGGGGCCCGCACAAGCGGCGGAGGAUGUUGCUUAAUUCGAUGCAACGCGAAGAACCUUACCAAGGUUUGACAUGCAGGGAAAAGCCAUAGAGAUAUGGUGUCCGUAAGGGUCCUGCACAGGUGGUGCAUGGCUGUCGUCAGCUCGUGUCGUGAGAUGUUGGGUUAAGUCCCGCAACGAGCGCAACCCUCGUUCUAUGUUGCCAGCGGGUAAUGCCGGGAACUCAUAGGAGACUGCCGGGGUCAACUCGGAGGAAGGUGGGGAUGACGUCAAGUCCUCAUGCCCAUUAUAUCUUGGGCUGCAAACAUCCUACAAUGGCCGGUACAAAGGGUUGCGAGACCGCAAGGUGGAGCGAAUCUCAAAAAGCCGGUCUCAGUUCGGAUUGGGGUCUGCAACUCGACCCCAUGAAGUCGGAGUCGCUAGUAAUCGCGAAUCAGCAACGUCGCGGUGAAUACGUUCCCGGGCCUUGCACACACCGCCCGU
rnacentral:rRNA from 1 species